rnacentral:rRNA from 1 species
GAUGAACGCUGGCGGCGUGCUUAACACAUGCAAGUCGAACGAUGAAGCCCAGCUUGCUGGGUGGAUUAGUGACGAACGGGUGAGUAACACGUGAGUAACCUGCCCUUAACUCUGGGAUAAGCCUGGGAAACUGGGUCUAAUACCGGAUAGGAGCGUCCACCGCAUGGUGGGUGUUGGAAAGAUUUAUCGGUUUUGGAUGGACUCGCGGCCUAUCAGCUUGUUGGUGAGGUAAUGGCUCACGAAGGCGACGACUGGUAGCCGGCCUGAGAGGGUGACCGGCCACACUGGGCCUGCGACACGGACCAGACUCCUACGGGCGGCAGCAGUGGGGAAUAUUGCACAAUGGCGGCAAGCCUGAUGCAGCGACGCCGCGUGCGGGAUGACGGCCUUCGGGUUGUAAACCUCUUUCAGUAGGGAAGAAGCGAAAGUGACGGUACCUGCAGAAGAAGCACCGGCUAACUACGUG